GAGCGUAUAGCUCAGUGGUAGAGUAUGUUUCUAGCAUGUACAAGGUCCUAGGUUCAAUCCCCAGUACCUCU
rnacentral:tRNA from 1 species